GGAUCAUUCAUCCCCAUGUACGACAUUGUACUCCCAAUCUUCUCUAGAUUUAUGAUAGCCUUGAAGCUGUUGAUGUAUCUCACUGGUAGGGGUCCAGAAAAAUAAUUACUUGAGAGGUCAAAAAUUUGGAUUUUAGAGAAAAAAGGGCUAGACUUGGAGCUAUUGACACAUAAGGGACCAUGCAUAUGAUUUGACUUCAAUACAAGAACUUGUAGCUGUGGAAGACUUCCCAACCAAUGAGGAAAUGUAUCAUUGAUCUUGUUGUUACCAAGAUCUAGCACUUCCAGACCCUUACAAUUAAGGAUGGAUGGUGUCAAGGGCCCUUCUAACAGAUUUCCAUUUAAGUUGAAAUUAGUCAAUUGGCAUCCCUCUGCAAAUGUUGGAGGAAUCGUCCCAUAAAACUUGUUCUUCUUCAGAUUCAAGAAUUCAAGGCUGUUGCUCAAAUUUCCAAAACAUUGUGGAAUUGUUCCACUCAAGUUAUUGUGGGACAAAUCAAGAAUUUGAAGAGAACUGGCAUUGCAUAUUAAAGAAGAGACCUCUCCAUUGAAUCUAUUAUUUGAGAUCAGAAAGACAUUGAUUGUCGAAGCUGGAAUCGGAAGAUUUCCACGGAUCAAAUUGGAGCUUAAGUCAAGAAAUUCAAUAUUCUUCCAUGGAAAGUGCUCAACUUCUGUCAAAGAGUUGUGAGAUACGUUUAAGAAAGUCAAAGAGUCAUUCCCCAUCUCUUGCAUCCACUGUGGAAUCUUGCCUUCAAUAUUGUUGCAAGAGAGGUCUAAGCUUUCCAAACUUUUCAGCCCUUUUAAAAACUGGGGAAUUCACUAAGAUUGCAAGAUGACAAAAAUAAGUCUGUAAGAUUAACAGUAGAAGUAGUAUUAAAUGUUAAGGAUAGGCUGUUACAUGAAAGGUGGAGAUAUUUGAGAUUUGGAAGGUUUGAGAACAUGCUAAACUCUAUGACACCACUAAGGUUAUUUGAGGAUAAAGCAAGCGAUGUAAGAUUGAGAAGUUGGAAUAUUGAAGAUGGAAGAGGACCUUGGAGUUUAUUAUUCUCUAACCAUAUCCGUUCUAGUGAUUUGGAUUGGAAUUCUUUGAUAUGCCCACUGAAUUGAUUUUGAGAGAGAUAUAUUGUCUUUAAGGAGGGAGCAGUAUACAACCAUGACGGAAGUGUUCCGUUGAGUAAAUUGUCAGAUAAGCCUAAAUAUAUUAGGUUAGUAAAUUGUCAGAUAAGCCUAAGUAUUCAAGCUGCGUUAGGUUUAGAAUUGAUAAUGGAAUUUGUCCACUCAAUUGGAUCCCCGAUAAGUCUAAUUGAGUGAGCUGCAAGAGGUUCCCCAAUGAUCUUGGAAUUUGUCCACUCAAUUGGUUGCCUCCCAUGUAGAGGAGAUUGAGGUUUGGCAAAUCAAAAAUGUUUUUUGGGAAUUUUCCUUGCAAACCACAACCAGCAAGACUGAGAGACCUUAGAGAAGAGGAUAGAUUCAUGAAGACAUGAGCAUUAACAGAAGACAUGUCCAUUCCAUCCAAAAACAGAUGUCUGACCUCGGUUAGGUUGUGAACAAGUCCCUCCAGAGCAUGUUUGUCCAUUCUAUAUUGCAUAGAGAAAGCAGGCCAAGAGGAGAGAUCGAGUAAAACCAAUUUUGACAGGUGGGAGACUUGGGAUGGGACUUCUCCUACAAACCCUGUAUAAGAAAGGUUGAGGUAGAAUAGGCUUGUAAACUGACCGAAAUCGGAUGGAAUUUUGGAAAGAUUAAAAUCAUUGCCGGCAAGGUUGAGUUUUUGAAGGUGAGGAAGAAGGAAGAGAGUGGUAUUGGAAGGGAAGGUGCCAUAUAGGCAACUGCAGCUCAAGUCAAGGGCAAUAACAUGAGCAUUUAGGUGGUCACAAGUGACCCCAUCCCAUGAGCAGCAAUCUGUACCCUCCUUCCAUGAAUUUGUCUUGGGAUAAGAUUUAGGGCCGCAAGACGAAUAAGCAGCCUCUGUUAUGGAAAAAGAGUUCUUGAACUGGAUUAGUAAAGAGCAGGAGUGAGAUCCUGAAGAAGAAAAAGAAGCAUAAAGAUGGGGAAAGAAGAGGAAUAGGCAGAGAAAGAGACAGGGGGCCAUGUUAUGUUGGUAGAGGAAGAUGAAGGAUAGGAAUGGUAUUUAUAGGCAACAAAUAAUACCACAACAUUGGUGUUAGUCUUUUUUUUCUUUAACAUUGAAAAGUUAUGGAUGCUUUUACCAUAUAUUUUUCAUUCUCAAAAUUGGAUGCUUUUUCUUUUAUUUCAUAAAAACGUGUAUACUUUUAUAUGCUUUUUGUUUUAGCAAAAUUUUGUAUUUCAUAAAAAUGUGUAUACUUAUAUAUAUAUAUAUAGCCUCAUAAUUCAAAUCUAAAAUCUCAUUUGUUAUAAAUUUUGAUAAAUCAAAGGGUGAUAAAUUAGGCCCGUUUAAAAUAUGAGCUGGGUUUAGGCUUGAACAUUCAAAGCUCGAGCCCAGCCCGGCCCAUUUUUAAGUGUAUAAUACUUUAUAUUUUAUAAUUUAGAACAGAUUAAAAAAAUAAACUUAUAUUAAAUAUAUAAUAAUACUAUAAUGUAAACAUUAAAAUAAUGUUAAGAUGACUAUAUAAAAAUUUUCAAUAAAUAAAAAAUAUUUAAAUUAUUAAAUAUUAAAAUAAUAUAAUAUAAAUAUUUAAAAAAAAACUAAAAAUUAUAUGGGCAUGCCUAAAAUGAGCUUGGGUUAGUCUUUUGCAAAUAUGGAUGAGUUUAGGCAAAAUUUUAAGCUCAUAUUUUGGGCCGAGCCGAGCUUGAGCAAGCAUAAAGUACGUUAAUAUCAUGCUUAGGCCUGACCUGGCCAGGCUCAUGAGCACCUCUAUAGUUGAGUGACUAGAAUAGAACUAAAGGAAUAGUUUAGUGAUUAUUUUUGUAAUUGACCCAUAUGAAAUUUAGGUUAAUUUCUGCUAUUAGUCCUUAUACUUUGCAAAAGUUGUGGACUUAAUCUUUAUACUUUAAUUUGGUCAUUUUUAGUUCAUCUACUUUUCAAAUUUUAAAAUUUUAGUCAUCACCAAACAAUAACCGUUAAAUUUAUUAAGUUUUGUUAUUUUCAAAAAAUGAUGCGACAAAUAUAUUAGGCUUAACUCAUAAAUCGGUAUCUAAAUUAUACUCAUUUUCCCAUGUUGGUACCUAAACUUAUUUUUGGUCACAAGUGGUACAUAAACUACUUUUUUUCCCAAGUUACUACUGCCAUUAGUCAAAAGUCUAUUUUAGAAAUAGGCUUAACCCAUAAAUUGGUACCUAGACUAAAAUUUGGUACCUCCGUCAUUAGUCAAACCGUUCAGUUUAUAUGAAAAAAAAAUUAACCAAUUAAAAAUUGACAUGUAGUAAAAAAAACUAUUAUUAUUUAUAUAAAUAUAAAUGGAGAGAACUAGUUCAACCGAUUUGUUUUUGUUCGCAAGUCAAUCGAUUCAAACCCUAUUUCCGGACCGAUUUCCUAUCCAACUAGUUGAAUCAAUCUGUUUUUGAAAACACUAGUUUCCCUCAGGUCAGAGAAGUAGGUGGUGAAAUUCAAAACCAAAAUUAAUCACCAACGUUUCGACCUCAAGUGGGCCAAUUUCAAACAUUAUCGGCAUUGUCAAACAUUAUAAAGGAAUAAGAAAGAAAAAUAUAAAAAAUUAAUUAAUUAAUAAUUAUUUUUAAAAGUUUAUAUGACAUACAAUCUAUUAUUUGUUGAAAUCUUUUUAGCCGAUAUAACAUUUUGGUGUAAAAUGAGUAAUGGAAGAAUAGUUUUAGUAAUACUUAUGGCCAAAAUAAAAAUUAGGUACCUUGGGAAAAGGAGCAUUGUUUAGGUAUUAAUUAUUAUUAAUAUUAUUUGAAUCAAGACUAAAAUUUCAAAUUUCAAAAAGUAAAUGGUUUAAAAUUGACCAAUUCAAAAAAUACAAUGACUAAAAUUGAUCAAAUUAAGGUAUAAGGACUAAAUCCAUCAUUUUCGUAAAGUACAGAGACUAAUAGCAGAAUUUAACCUAAAUUUUAAUAUAAAUAAAAUCCAAAGUAGAAUAUAUUUUUUGAUAACUACAAUACAUUUAUGAGCAAGGAAAAAAGGAAGACUUACAAAGAUAAACACAGUAAGAAUGAAAAGAAUAUGGGGAUAAUUUACACAAAUUCCUUCAAAAACCAUAGCUUUUGGAGGUGAAAUUUAAUCAAAGGAAGAAUGAAAGCUCAGGUUUGGGAGUAAAUGAUAACAUACUUUCACCAAAAAGUUCAAAUAAUGAUGCUAACAAGUUCCCCGGGUCUGUGUCUUCCUUCCAAGCCUGAGCUAGAACGGUUGAUGUCUUUGAAACUCGACCCCCAACCUCCCUUCCUAGCAUGUUUUCGUUUGAUAACGGCCGUGACAUUGAUGAUACACCGAUAUUGGAACCUCCUACGGUGGUAGAAAAGCCGCUAACUGCCCCUUGUAAAUCAGUUUGAAUGGAAUUUAUUGGCAUCAUACCUAUUGCACUCUCAGUUGCUAUUUUCUUCGCAGGUGGUUGCUGCUGCAUCAAGGUGUCCGUGCUUGCUUUUCGUUUAUCUUGAUUGAUCAGAAAAAGGAAUAUCGUAAAGGGGGAGAAGAGACUUGUGGAUUAAGUGUAAAUAUGAUGGUUCGAAGAAAUCAUACUUGUCGCAACUUUGUUGUUGCUUUUCCAGAUGGGACGAGUUGGGGGUGCUAGAAAACUGGGGAACAUUUUAAGCCGAUCAUACAUGCACAGUCCAGCUGCACGCUGUUAGUGGAAAUUUUAUGCAGUGUUGUUAGUUCUACAGCAAAUAAAUGAAACGAUGCUCAUAAACUGGUACCAAAUUUGAUGUUAAACUUACCAGCAGGGCCCCAUAAACACACCAGGCCUCGUGUCUUUUUAUUUCAGGUUCAAGAAGCUGCAAAUACGCUUCAAAGCAAACAUGAGAGGGAAAUUAUUCAAAUUCCGUGCAACCUGAGAUAAAUGUGGCAAAAAUGUAAGCUUGAGAUAACCAACCAAAAGUUCUUUGCAACACACAUAUAUAAUGAGGUAUCAAAGAUCUUUAAGACAACCUCAUCCGCAAUGAAAUAUGUAAAAUAAGGAACUAAAGGAUGUAAUCCCGAGUCUGUUGCCAAACUCAGUAAUGCUUGUUUAAAGAGAACUGAGACUGAUUUAUUCAUGGUAAUGUCCACGAUCUUGUCAAAGUAAAGCUGCAUGACAACCAAAUUAGUCUUUUAAUAACAUUCUGUGCAAAAUGUAUUUUAACAUAAAAAUGUUGCUGAAGAUGUACAACAUACUUGAAGCUCUCUAGAUAAUACAUGCUUAACAGGUAAUUUGACAUCAACGGAAAGCCCAUCUUCUUUGUAUUCAGCCUUUUUACCAUCAGAAGGUGCUGCAUGGAAAGCAAACUACCAAUUCCAUGUAGAAAUGAAGAUAAGUCGUAUUAGAUUAAAGUGAUAAAACCAGAAAAGAACAUGAACCAUGAGAGUAUUCAACACAAAUAGCUUCGAGAAAAUAUUUAGGUUAGCUAAGACGGUACCUUCAAUUGAAGCAUUUUCGGGAAUUGCUGGUUGAAUGCCUUCAAUCGCAAGCCAGUGGGAUGUAACAGAUGUAUCAAGUGGUGCUUUUGGUAAAGGUGACUCAAGAACCUACAUACAUAAGGCAACAUAGGAAUUUAAGUGAAGACUUAUUUAAUAAGGCAACAUACAACAGAACCUCGAAUAUUGUUGAUCAGUUCUUACUUCUUUAAACUCCACAUCUUUGUCAUCAAUGUAGAACAAAUCAUUAUGCUUCUUGAAUCGUAGUGCAUCACGAGAGGCAAAUCCACAUAUCGGCUGAUGCCAGAGAAACACAUAACACAAGCCAAUUAACCAAAAUGCAAAAUCUAAAGCAGCAGGUUAAACUUACUACGAUUGGAUUGCAUCAUUUUAACCAGCGUUUUUGGAUUGCAUCAUUUCGAGUUUUGUCGUUCGGGUUUGACAAUUAAUUCAAAUCAUUUUAAGAUCAUGUCAUUUUGGAUUCAAAUUAUCACUUCUUUAUAAUCAAAUCGAGUUGCGUUAAGUUUAAAUUCAAAUUAAUUCAGUUUUACUACUUACUAAAACUUAUGUUUCUCAAAAUAAUUUUUUCAAAUUAAAAUUUAUUAAUUAUUUAAAUUAAGAUGUUAUUUUUUUAUUCUUUAUAUAUGUUUUACAAUUCGUGUUCAAGAUCGGUGGAUACCGCACACAACAUUAUUAUCUCCAACGUCUGAAUACGCAUUAUCUCCUUGAGAAUGUAAUAUGAUUUGCCACUACGCCAAACACUUGUUGGUAUCUAAAAUGGAUAAAAACACAUUUCUCGUCCCUCUCAAUUUCUAUAUUGAACAAAUUGAUUCCUCUCAGAAAAUUAGAGCAAUUUAAUCAUUAUCAAUUUUGAAUGGGAGCAACUAAGAACAAUUAAUCAUUGUGUUAAUACUUUCUGUAAAUUGUAUAUAUUUUUUAUUGAUAUAAUAACAAAAUAAGCUCUCGAUGUUUAUAUAUUAUAUGUAAAUGUUAAUAGAAUAUGUAAUUGUUGCGGGAUAAAUUUGUUAAAUCAAGAUCAAAUUAACAGAAUAUGUAAACAAGUUUAUAAACUUGUUAUUAUACCAAUAAAAAUAUGUACAAUUGAUGGAAAAUAUUGACAUUGUGAUUAAUUGUUCUUAGUUGCUCACUUUCGAAAUUAACAAAGAUUAAAUUGCUUUAAUUUUUUUUAAAAUGGACCAAUUUACUUAAUAUCAAAAUUGAGAGGGACUAAAGAGGGUUUUUACCAUCUAAAAUGUUAUCUAAUACAAGAAAAACUUAACAACUAUUUUUUAAUUAUGAAAAGGUAAACUACAUAAUUAGCCACUGAACUAUGGGUAAAUCUUCGUUUUGGUCACUUAACGAAAAAAGUUACAAUUUGGUCACCCUAUUGUUAAAUGACACUUUGUAGUUGCUAUAAUAACAAUUCUAGUAUUUUGUUUUUAUAAUUUUUUUUGCCAAUUUAAAAAAUAUAAACUUCUGUAUAAAAAUUAUAAAAAAAACUCAAAAUUAUUUUUAAAAAAUAUAAACUUCUAUAUAAAAAUUCUAGAAAAAUAAAAUCUCGAAUAUGUUGUUGUUGAAGAACUAAUAUGUAUGGGAAAUAAAAAAAAUUAUCAUUCAAUAGAAUCCCAUAACAAAUUAAAAACAGAACAAAACAAAAAAAAGGUUAGAUCAUUAUACGCUUCCUCAAUGUUUUUUGCAACCAAAUUAGUAAAAUUUUCAAGUUGAGUUUCAUGCCCUUGAAGAACAUCCGUAACUAUAUUACAAAAGCUUACAAAAUCAACUUUGAUGCCAUUUUUCUAGCAAAAAUAUAAAAUAUACCACAAAAUUUUCUUUUUCAAACUCAAUUCGAAUUUUCAAUUCAUUUAAAUUUAUUUUUAAAAACCCAAAUUAUAAAAGCAGAUUAUAUACAGAUAAUUUUACUUAAUCUUUUUUUUUUUUACUUUUUUCUAUGUUUUCUAAAAGAAUGGAUAUUAGAUAUUUCUUUACAAAUAAUACAAAGAAAAUUUGGAGGGUUUAAAAAUAAUAUUUCCCUCAUUUUCUCUCACUUUAUUUAUAUUUGAAAUUUUUAUCUACUUUCAUUUAAUUUUUAAUUUUUAGAAUUUUGUAAAAUUUAAAAAGAAUUUCACUUUUGUAAUCAUUUUAUAUAAUUAGAGUUAAAUUGACAGAAAGUAUAAAAAUUGAGGAUAAAAAUUAUUAUUAUACCAACUAAAAAGUGUCACUUAAUAGUCAGGUGACCAAAAAAGUUGUAAACUAUAAAAAUAGUCACCCAACUAUUAAAAUUUCCAAUUUAGUUGCUAAACUUUUUGAAAUUAAAUAUUUUAAUCACUUUCCCUUUAGUUGUCGUUAGAUGAGUGACGGAAAGCUGAUGUGGGUUUUUUUUAAUUGAUUUAAUAACAAAUUUAACCUCUAAUAUUUACCAAUGCAACUUUUCACCAUAGGAAAAACUUUCUAACAGACUACUAAACAAGAAAUUAUGAAGACACAGCAGAAAUGCUUUAACUUCAUUUGAACCAACUAGAUCCUUCUUCAUCCAUUGAUGCGAUUGCUAUAUUUCGGCUUUCUUCUUCGCCUCUUCUCAUGUUGGUCUUCAGCCAAAUUCACGAACCUUUUCGCCUUACCGGUUUGGAAAACAACACAUCCCAUGGCCAUUCCACAUGUUGGAAAAGGAUUACCCCUACCGUUAUAUUUUGUCUUCUCUCAUCAAUGAUAUUGCGAUACCCAAAGUUUGGUAUCGCGAUAUCUACAACAGUCUUGGGGAUCCUUGGGAGUUUUGGGUAUCGCGAUAUCUUAUGACCGGUAUCACGACAACACUGUUGAUGGCUCAAUCUUCCUUGUUUUUAACAUUGUUAUGGGUAUUACGACUUUCAUGCUUUGAUCUGCGAUACCCUCUUUCUAGGUAACAUUUUCGCUCCUUCCAGGCCACCAUGGGCUCUCUGCAUCACUCAUCAACCUCAUUAGAUUCCCGGAGUGCCAUUUGGCCAUCUUAGGUCUUAAAAUAGCAUCAAAAUGCACACUAAUCAUUUAUUAAUAUAAAGAACUAAAACAAAAUAAAAACGCAACAAAGAUAUCUAAAUUGCUCGAAAAUAAACUUUUAAGUGUGAUGGAGAGCCUAAUUUGACAUAUCAAUUUAUAGCAAAUCAUAAACAUUAUUUGCGGAACUUGUUAAAAUUUCAGAUUUCUUUAUUAGUUUUCUUUCAAUAUUUUGUACGGUUCAUUUGUAGUAAUAUAUUGUGCAGAUCAUAGGCUAAAUUGCUUUAUUAGUUUUCUAUUGUUGAUCUUUAUUAUUAUUAUUAUUAUUAUUAACACUACUUCCUUUUUACCAUAUAAUUUUUAUUCAUAAAAAUGAAGAGUUGAUUUACCCAAAAUUUGUAUUUCAUUUGAACUCCCUAAAGAAUGAAGAACUGAAAUAAUUAGAAAUUAUUUUGACUUGCUCUUGCUUCCUUUCUAUGUAUGAAUGUGGAAAUUGGCAUAAUGCCAACUUAUUUUCCACGCAGAAGAAGAAAAUGGUGCUCUAUUCACUCCCUUUAACUCAGCAACUUUGUAAUCAUUCUAUAUAAUCAGAGUCAAAUUGACAAAAAUUAGUAUAAAAAUUGAGGAAUCAAAUUAUUAUUAUGCCAACUAAAAAGUGUCACUUAAUAGUCAGGUCACCAAAAAUGUUGUAAACUAUAAAAAUAGUCACCCAACUAUUAAAUUUUCCAAUUUAGUUGCUAAACUUUUUGAAAUUAAAUAUUUUAAUCACUCUCCCUUUAGUUGUCGUUAGAUGAGUGACGGAAAGCUGAUGUGGGUUUUUUUAUUGAUCUAAUAACAAAUUUAACCUCUAAUAUUUACACAUAGGAAAAAAAUUGAAAGACUUCAAAACAAGAAAUUAUGAAGAUACAACAUCAGCACUUGAACAUCAUUUCCACUAACUAGAUCCUUCUUCGUCCAUUGCUGCGACUGCCAUCCUUUGACUUUCUUCUUCGCUUCUUCUCAUGUUGGAUUUCAACCAAAUUCACCAACCAUUUCGGCUUACCAGUUUGGAAAACAACAUAUCCCACGGACAUUCCCAACACCACUCCGCAUCCAUAACCUAUCAACACCACUUUCCAACCAAAAGUAAUGUUUGAUUUUGAGCCAUCUUUUUCAAGCACAUUUGGAGGUGCUGGCUCAAUGAUGUUGCAACCUUUCGAGACCGGAAAUCCACAUAAUCCCCUGUUCCCUUCAUAUGAAUCAUUUCCAAAUGUGUUGAACUGUUUGCCUUGAGGAAUCUGACCAUGGAGUUGAUUUUCAGAAACAUUGAAGGACGAAAGAAAUGGCAGAUCUGCCAAUCUAAUUGGAAUCGUCCCAGACAACCUGUUUGAAGAUAGGUCCAACCAUUCAAGAUUUGUCAAAUUCCCUAUUGAGGUGGGGAUACCACCAUUAAGGUUAUUAUGAGAAAGGUUGAGCCCUUUCAGUAAGUUAAGCUUCCCAAUAACCUUUGGAAUACCCCCUUCAAACUGAUUGUUUGAUAGAUCAAUGAUCAUCCACAUGGUGAAAAUUUUCACCAAUUCCAUAUCUUGUCCUUUCAUAACAAUUCCAAUGGAAUAGGUAUAGAAGCCACUACCUCGAGGAUCAUUCACCCCCAUGUACGACACUGUACUACCAAUCUUCUCUAGAUUUAUGAUAGCCUUGAAGCUGUUGAUGUAUCUCACAGGUAGGGGUCCAGAAAAAUAAUUACUCGAGAGAUCAAAAAUUUGGAUUUUAGAGAAAAAAAGGCUAGACUUGGAGCUAUUGACACAUAAGGAACCAUGCAUAUGAUUUGACUUCAAUACAAGAACUUGCAAAAAUGGAAGACUUCCCAACCAAUGAGGAAAUGUAUCAUUGAUCUUGUUG
rnacentral:lncRNA from 1 species